CUGAAGGAGACGCCUCCAGGGCAGGUUCUGCUUUGGCUCCAGGAAGCCGACUUUGGCCGCAACUCCACCAAUGCAGCGCCACACCGCUUUGCCUCAAGGCUGAGGGAGCCUGGGAUUUGUAGUCUGGCCUUCCUUAGUAUCAUCCAUUCGGAUUCACGAAACGAAAAAUGCCAUUUUCGGACGGGACGAAACGAAAGGCGGCACGAAAAAGAAAGCUGCAUGGUCACUGUGCUUGCUUUCAUUUUCCUUCAGUUUGAGGCUGCCUAACAAUAAGCAGACACUUCUACAUCGUGGUUGAAAAAAACCCCCUCCUGGUCUUUUCAUAUGGAAUAACACUAAAGAGCCUUGAGAAGGAACUGCUCCAUCCAGAGGAUCUGAGAGCCUUCAAAAUUAUAUUGAUGACUCAAUUGUGUGCAGUUUUGAGCUCUUUUGCUGCUAUGCACUACUUGGACUGAACUAAGGUAUGUGGAAUUGAUAGUGAAUAGAUGUCCUGCCACACUGAACAAAGUUGGCUAGCCUUUGUUUUCCUCUAAAUACAGAAUACAAGUAUUUGAGUGAUCUCGGAACUACAUCUGCGCUACAUAUCUACUCCUCCUCCCAGAUGUAGACAUUUCUCUGUUCUUUCAUGCACAUUCCAUUUAUCUCUUACAGGCAUCAUUACCAGCCAACAUUAAUUCUGUCCCAAUGUUUAGCUAUGUAACUUUUUUGUAGCUUGGCCAUGAAUCUAGUCUGCAUGCUUUUCUUAUCUCUUUCGUUGGAGAUCCCAGACAAUCAUUCUUUUGGUCUUUCUGCAAAGCUUGUCAUACCUGUAUCAUUGCUAAAGCCAUUCCGUUGUUCUGAGCCUGAGAAACUAAUAAAUCUUUUAGAUUUCUGUGGUCAAGUCAUGAGGAUCUCUGAAUGCUUAAAGUAUCCUGCUAGUCAAGAUUUCCACUGUUUCUCCAGCAGCUAUUAAUAACUGGAUGAGUUUAUAAGAGUCUGGAAGUUAAAAAGAGAAAACAGAUGAUGAAGGAAUGAGCCAAAAGAUGCAGACAUUUGUUGGCAGAAAAGGAGAAUUAAUAAAAAAAGAGGGCUUAUUCUUCUGUUAAAUCAGCCCUUACUCCAAUCUGGACAGAAUUUGUUGCAUCGGCUGACGGUACACAUGGUAAAUCAUUUUUGGGAAUCUGCAUCCACAAACCUAGUGUGCACAUAGCUUUGCACCAUGGAUAUUCUCAAAAAGUUCAUGCAUGCAUGUUGGGCCUUUGUCAAACAGGGUGAACAAUUUAAAAAUUAGAAUUUUAUUCCAUCUUUCCAUUAAGAAAGUAAUAUUAACAUUCAAGGUGGCUACUAACAUC